UACGUAGGGUGCGAGCGUUAAUCGGAAUUACUGGGCGUAAAGUGUGCGCAGGCGGCGCUGCAAGUCGAGUGUGAAAUCCCCGAGCUUAACUUGGGAAUUGCGCUCGAAACUACGGCGCUGGAGUAUGGCAGAGGAAGGAGGAAUUCCACGUGUAGCGGUGAAAUGCGUAGAGAUGUGGAGGAACACCGAUGGCGAAGGCAGCCUUCUGGGCCAAUACUGACGCUCAUGCACGAAAGCGUGGGGAGCAAACAGG
rnacentral:rRNA from 1 species